UACGGAGGAGGCAAGCGUUAUCCGGAAUUAUUGGGCGUAAAGAGUCCGUAGGUGGCGAUUCAAGUCUGCUGUCAAAGCGUGGAGCUCAACUCCAUUAAGGCAGUGGAAACUGAAUGGCUAGAGUCCGGUAGGGGUAGCGGGAAUUCCCAGUGUAGCGGUGAAAUGUGUAGAGAUUGGGAAGAACAUCGGUGGCGAAAGCGCGCUACUGGGCCGGAACUGACAAUGAGGGACGAAAGCUAGGGGAGCGAAAGGG
rnacentral:rRNA from 1 species